AAAUUCACAUGGGAAUGGACAGAGUCGGAGUAAAGAACCAACGAAGGAGUAGUUAUUAGACACCUACUUGUGCCUGCUAUGGAGCCAGUCACCACCAGGAAGACAAAAAGAAGAUAAAAAGUCAGAGCUUUGGAGAAGAAAACUAAAAUAUCAACAUAGUCCCUUCGCCCAGCUACAAUUCCUGUCACCUGUGAUCACGGUAUGCAAUCUUAAUAAUUACUACCUCUGCUCGUUAUGAUAAUGAAAUUGAUUCGAGUUGGGAGGAAGAAAGGAAAUGUGUCUCUUUAGUAAAGCUCUUUCCACCCUCUGGAAGCUAUCUCCCAACUUAACAAAAACUGCAUAAAGCCAUUCACGACCCCAUGCCCACCGGGUCAGGGGUGACGGGCCUCGCCCCCUCUCCAGCAUCCAGACAUUGCCACCUGGCCUUCCCCUCACGAGCAUCAGCUUGUUUUUCCAGAGAGCAGCAGUCAUUACCUGAAUGGCAGGUUUGCCACGCAAGCUUCCUUAAUGUGGGGCUUUGUAGACAUCACAUCCGGGUUGUCAUUAGUGUCCUCUGAAAACAGUAAUCAGCUGGCAGACCAGAGAAGGACAUUCCAAGAAGAAAACGCAUUAUUACAAAUGUUUGGGAAGCCGUGGAAAAUCUAAUUUAUUUGUUUGUUUGUUGUGUUUGCUUAGCUCAAGAAAAGGGCUAACUUGUACACGAUGCAUGAGAAUGGAAGUCAUCCGGAUGUACUGAACUGUACUUGGCAACAGUGCUGGGAGUGGGGGAGGGACACACUUACCGGUUGGCAGCCCUGCAGAAGGAGGGGUCUCUCUCCACCCCUGCACCCCUGCAGGAGGCUGAGCCAAGGGCAAGAGAUCCUUUUGUGGGUUCAUGGCUUAUUACCUUUCUCACUCAGUCUCCUGCUCUUCUCCAUACAGUGUUAGGUGGUUAGAAAGUUCUAGAAGAGGCCCUGCUCCAGGAGCUAAAGUAUUUUCUGGGUCUUUCCUCUGUCCCUACAUCAAGUGUGAAUGCACCAAAAAUCAACACAGCCCAAGGGAGAAGACGCUGUCACUCCAGUGUUCCCUCUUCCACCCCCACCCCAUGACCUCUCAGCCACCAAGAGGCGAACAUGACCAAGAGGCAGUUCCGUCUCAGUCUACACUGGAGCUGCCUUAGGAGAGCAGACAUGCAGGUCAGUUUCCUUCUCUAUCAGCAUCAGCCUACUAUUUCUUCAAUGCAAAAGGUUAAAGCCACGCCCUCCAGAAAAGCUAUGCUGAGUCUUUGGGAAACUGGACAAGGGAUGCUGGGGACCCACACCUCUGGGCCAGCUGGAGACCCAUCCCAGGGUCCAGAGACUGGGCAGCCUGAACAGGAGUGACCCAGAUGUCUGACAUAGGGGAGCUGUGCUGAUGGAGUCUGGGACUGGGAGUCCAGGGCUUUGGUCCAUUUCCAGUAUCUCCUGAUAGGACGUGGGCUCUGAUCCUCCCCACUUUGCCCACCAGAAGUGUGUCAAGGUAAGAACUCACAGCUGACUCCAAGGAUCCUUUAGAAAUAAAACUUUUUAAGUGAUCUCUGCUACUCUUAAAUGAUCCAGUGAUAUCUGGAAGGGGCCUGUGUGCUCACUGGGGUCUCACUGCCCUAGCAGAAAAGGGCAGGCACUCACUUCUACCCCCCACCAUUUUUCUGGUGCCUGCAGUAACCUCUGAUGCUUACCAAAAAAAAAAAAAAAAAAUCUCAUUAUAAAAGGCAGAAAGAUGUAUCUCUUCUACCUCCAGGAUUUUCCUUUUUUGGUCACUUCUCAUUUCUUCUCUUCCAUGUUCAGCCCCAGAACAAUGUCCCUAAAAAGGGAGGGUAACAACUAUCUAAACUGCUACCAUCAGCAAGGGAAGCGUCGCUGAAAAUGCAGACAGCCAUCCAGACCUCGGCCUCCCACUCAAACUUGAAGGAAACAAUCCAUUCUCAAGGUCAGGUGGUGGACAGAAAGUCCCCGUUCCUACCCUAACAAUCAUCCCUUCUCUCAGGGCUGGCUUGCUUUCCAAGAUAACUUGUCAGGAUUUAUUUCCAUCUUGGCAUUUGUGUCUUCGAGGCAUCCUAGAAAGAAACCUUGUGUAUCACCCCACAGAACAAAGAGAGAAAGAAAAUGUUCUUGGAUCAGCUUCUCGAAAAAUCUUAAACCAGAUUCUCCUGGGAUGUUUCGGGCCAGUCACGCCGGUUACUUGAUACUGUGGCAUCUUUCUUUGAAAAUUUAGAAUACACAAUGAUUGAAUGAAAAGUUCAAAAGUCUACAAUGUCCGCAGCACUGGUUUCUAAAUUGCCACACUGCUGCUCAAGAGCUUGUCUUGUCUACCCUUUGGGGCCACCACCUUCUUUACAGAGCAAGACAGGGAGUACGAGAUUUCCAAACAGAGGGCAAAGUUGCUUGUCAGGAAUGUUGUAAGAGGAACAGUUCAAAAGGAUUUGAAACAGGACUUUCUGAUUUGGUUAUUUUCUUCUUAAUUAGAAAAGAGUUUGAGUCUACAGAGAAUAUAUAAUAAUAGGUAAAGGGAAAAUAUUAACUGUGCUUUCAAUCUCCAUAGAUGUUUAUAGGUCAAAGGGGUGGCCAAAUUGCACAUAAAGUUUCAAUAGGACACAGCCACACCGUUCAGUCUACACAUUUCUAUGGCUGUGCUUAGGCUAACAGUAUCUCUCUGACCCACGAGCCCUUACAUAUUUAUCUUCUGGCCUUUAGAGAAAAAAAUUUCCAACUUCUGCUACAGAUGACAGAGCAGGAGAAAAAUGAAAAUUACAGCCAGGAAUGGUGGUACACACCUGUAAUCCUGUUAUACCAGGAACUCAGGAGGCUGAGGCAGGAGGAUCGAAAGUUCAAGAUGAGCCUCAGCAACUUAGCAAUAGCCUGUCUAAAAAUAAAAAAUAAAAAACUGGGGAUAAAGCAUCCCUGGGUUAAAUCCCAGCACCACAAAAAAAAAAGGAAAGAAAGAAAAUGAAAAUUACAGUAGAAACAGUCAGACCUAUCCAUCAAUAUCUCUGUCUCAGAAAGGUGAACAGACCAUUAAAUCUUCACUAGCAGGAGAGGGUCUUGACCCCUUCACUAAACACAGGCUACUAAAAACAGGGGUGGAUAAUUUGAAUUGGAUAGUUUAGGAUCAGUGUAAACACUUUAAAGAUUGAAAAGUGUCUGUGUUUCCCCUCAGGUAACUCAUGUUUAUGGCAAAAAUUAAAAUUAAGACAAAAGAUAUGUAUUGUUUUUUAUUUUAAAAAUUGUAUGUUUCCCAAAUAGUUUUCAAGAUAAUGUUCAAUUUUUGCUGUGCACUAAGAAAUACAUCAUGCUGUCCUUUGCAAAACUGCCAAUUUAAACUGAGCUAAAACACACACACACACACACACACACACACACACACACACACACACACACACACACGCCCUUAUGAGUCACAAACCUGAGUUUCACUAAGAGCCUUGGGAGGGUUGCUUUGGCCCUUAUUAGAUAUGAAGAGCAAGAGCUCCCCCUGCUGGCUUCAUAGCAACCUAGGCCCGGACUCCAUGUAUUUUCUGAUCUAGGAUCAUGUCCACAGUUUCACGAGGAAUAGAGGAGUAUCAGACAUUCACAAUUCAUUCCUAAAAGAUCAUAGCAAUUUGAGAUUUGUAUUAUAUGUAUCAUAUCAAGUAAUUUCUACCUAAACGGGAUCCACUGGGUUUUUACCUCCCUUAAACCUCCCCGCUCCCUAAAAAAAAAAAAAAAAAAAUUUAACUCUAGCCUUCUACACCACUUUAUGGCACAUGAAGUCUUGUAACAAUGAACAAAGAAUUUUAUUUCUCAUUUGAUACAGAAUACUGGCCAAGGGUUUUGUUCUAAAUACAUUGACUCAUGCAAAAUUGCCAAUAUUCCACUCUUGAUCCAUGCAGAUGGCACCUGAAUAUAAUUAGUUCAUCAACAAUGGACAAGAUACCCAGGAGAGUCUGGAGGUGUGCAGUGUGGCAGGCUUUGGUGCUUGGAGGCUGGGGAUACAGGACACAAACCCUCCAGCCGCAUGAGUUUCCCCAGUGCCUCCUCUGAGCUCCUCUGUCUGAUGAAGUAGACACUGGGCGUUUAUGGCACCUGUUUUGUCACUUGGGCCACUCUGCUCCACUUGAUACAUACACUUUGAUAUAUUCCUUAAAAUUUCCAUGAUGGUUUGAUGCAAUGGUCCCUAGGUUAAAAGCACAAAGAAUCAUAGAUUCUUAUUUCUCAGAUCUGCAAACAGUGUGACCGAACUCCAUCCUCCAGGACAGAACCGUUGCACACAACAAAAGCCUUUAUAACUUCCACUGAGAACAUCACACCGUCCAGCAGAUCCCAAUUGAAGUUGAAUGAGAACCAUUGGCUGAAGGGUUUCUCCUGAAUCUAAUUAUAAUUCAACAUAAUCUUGUGGAUGGAGAGCGAGCAAGAACCUCACAGCUGUAUGAGCUAUCAAUCACAAGAGCCAAAGCAGAAAGAAAAUCAUCCAGCAGAGGGAGCCAAAGAGAAACGCAUACUUAUUUUUUAAGCAUGACAUAGAAUCUUAAAGACUUGAGAGCCUGUAUGUACAACUAUGAUGCACCAAUUUAAAAAAAAAAAGUGGGGGGAAUAAAACACUUGAGAUCCCAAAUGAUGUAUUUUAUCACAUUGAUAUUAUUUCCUCAAAGGUCACAGUUACCCUAUGCCUUUUGACCCCAGCCAGAUCUUGUGAUAAUUUUUCCCCAAGACAAAGCUGAUAUGAUUCUUUUAUGUUCACUUUUACCUAGAAAAACAGGCAAACUUCUUAUUUAGACUAAGGUAUAUGUCAAAAUGCAUUUUGAAUGAUAGUGGACACCACAAAAACAGAAUUUUUAAGGGAAAAAAAUAUUUUCUUCCCCUUUAAAACAGAUAAACUGGGCAUUUUUCCUUCACAAUUUACGGACUUGUUGACCAUCAACUGUGUGCUCACUAUGUUGGACUCUGAAUCCAGACCUCCCUGAAGGUAUUUUACAGUCCUUUGUUGCAGUUGGGGUAUUCAAACCCAUCCUUCAGCUUGGCUUCCCAUGUCAGCUUCCGUGGCUUCCCAGGUCACACAGAGUACAUUCAGAGUCCUUGCAGGACAUUGGCCAUCAGCGGGUCAUGGCUGUUUGCCAUUCCGUGGGAGACACCAUUGGCUACUGUGACACUCUGUUCAUUCCAUGGCUGGAGGUGACACACCUGUGCGAUGGGUAAGAGAGACAGACUGUUUCCAGGUGAGCCUUCUUGAGUCAUCACUCAAGGUGACUUGCUCACUCACUCAACACCCAUUUAUCGGCACAGGCCAGUCCUGAAGGUUACCAUUAUCCUGUGCACUUUUGUCUCAGAAUUAAUGUGCCAACUGAAUUAGAUGUCAGAAAAGGGAAAAGGCUUGGAAAGCAUUCUCCCAAGGGAUAUGAAAGCUACUUCAACGCCAAAUAACAACCUCUCGUGAUAACAGCGUGACAUUUGCCAGAUGGCAUCUGUUCUCCUCCUGUCUCUGCCUUGCCCUCCUUUAGCCACGUGUCCUGUUUACAUCCACGACAGACUUACUCAUUUUUGUACCUGGCUGAUACAAAAUACUCUCAU
rnacentral:lncRNA from 1 species